GUGCUUGCUUCGGCAGCACAUAUACUAAAACUGGAACGAUACAGAGAAGAUUAGCAUGGCCCCUGCGCAAGGAUGACACGCAAAUUUGUGAAGUGUUCCAUAUUUUU
ensembl:snRNA U6 U6 spliceosomal RNA